rnacentral:lncRNA from 1 species
CUCUGCCCUUAGGGGCUUUCACUAGAAUGGGAUUAGACAGAACUGAUCAUAGAAAUGACUAUGAAUUGAUGACUGUGGGAUAGGGAUGUAGCUCAGUGGUAGAGCACUUGCCUCGCCUGCAUGAGGACCUGGUUUCCAUCCCCAGCACUGCAAAAAUAAACCAAUUUAAACAACAGUGACUGUAAUAAGGAGAGAAAGGGGUGCCCAGAAGGAAAGUGAUGAGCCAGGGAAGAGUGGCAGGAGAUCAGAAGACACCAGGCCACCCAGUGCCUGCUGGGCCAACGGGGAGCCUGGAAAAGAGCACUGUUCAGCAAGAGGAUUGAACAGAGAGAAAGAAUCUGGACUCAGAACUCACAGCAAGCUCUAAUGUCAACACAUCUACAAACAGACUGGGAGACUUGAAGUCACUGUUCCUAUUAAAAAAUGAUCAGCAGGUUGACUGUAGCCUUCCCUGCUCUGAUUCUAUAAAUAAGGAAUAAAAGUACUAUGUAAUGACCAUGCAACCAAUUUUAAAAG